rnacentral:rRNA from 1 species
UGGGGAAUAUUGGGCAAUGGAGGAAACUCUGACCCAGCGACGCCGCGUGCGGGAUGAAGGCCUUCGGGUUGUAAACCGCUUUCAGCAGGGAAGAAGCGAAAGUGACGGUACCUGCAGAAGAAGCACCGGCUAACUAUGUGCCAGCAGCCGCGGUAAUACAUAGGGUGCAAGCGUUGUCCGGAAUUAUUGGGCGUAAAGAGCUCGUAGGUGGUUCGUCACGUCGGAUGUGAAACUCUGGGGCUUAACCCCAGACCUGCAUUCGAUACGGGCGGGCUUGAGUAUGGUAGGGGAGUCUGGAAUUCCUGGUGUAGCGGUGGAAUGCGCAGAUAUCAGGAGGAACACCAAUGGCGAAGGCAGGACUCUGGGCCAUUACUGACACUGAGGAGCGAAAGCGUGGGGAGCGAACA